AUCCAAAGUGAAGGUGAAACCCCUAAUCUUUUCUAGAAUCCAAAUCUUAAUUUCUCUCACUCAUUGCGGCUCCGAUAAUCUAACAUCUCAAACAAAACACCCUUGUCACUCUCGUUUCUCUCAAGCCAUGCUCCUCUUCCUCGGCUCCAACUUUUUUCUCAGAGGCUGCUCCGCCGGGAUGGCCUCUCCAAGAUGUCCCUUCGCGUCGCCGUGGUCAAGCUCUUCCUCGAUCGCCGGUGAGACAGCCAUGGUUUCCGAGCUCAAGAUCUUCGUGGAUGGUCGGCAGUGUUCAUUCUCUUCUGCGGAAAACAGAGUCAAGUGUGGUCUCAUCAAGAGAGAACGUGGCAAGCUUUCCCCGUCUGAUCUCUAAGCAUCUCUACUCUUGAACAACUCAAGAACUAUGCAUCUGACAAGAAAAAGAAGAAGUGAAAAUGGGAGCCCCAAAGCAUAAGUGGACAUUGAAAGAAGAAGAAGAAGAAGCUCUUAUGGCUGGAGUGCUCAAACAUGGAACUGGAAAAUGGCUUUACAUACUCGCACGACUCUGAGUACUACUUCUCUCCUGACCCCAACCCCAACAUCCACACUUCCCAUACCCCUAGCAACCACAUCCACACCUCGUUUUUUGCUGAUAACCACAUCAACAAAUCCCAUGUCCACAAUAGCACCAUCCACUCCUCGCAAGUCCCAAACAACCACAUCCAUAGACGCUUUGUCCACAAUACCCGAAUAAGGCGCACAUAGUGAUCUCAGCUGUCUUGAUCAAGUUACUUCUUAGCUGUUGAUUAACAAUCUCUUUUACCUCAUGCUCACUUUUGUAAUGUAUGUACUAAAACUUUCUCUUGUAGCCUCAACCGGCUUUUGCUAGGCGCAAACAUUCUUAGACUUUUUUGAAAUCAGCCUAAUUAUGUGUC